rnacentral:rRNA from 1 species
AGCGAACGCUGGCGGCAGGCCUAACACAUGCAAGUCGAACGAACUCUUCGGAGUUAGUGGCGGACGGGUGAGUAACACGUGGGAACGUGCCCUUUGGUACGGAAUAACUCAGGGAAACUUGAGCUAAUACCGUAUGUGCCCUUCGGGGGAAAGAUUUAUCGCCAUUGGAGCGGCCCGCGUCUGAUUAGCUAGUUGGUGUGGUAACGGCUCACCAAGGCGACGAUCAGUAGCUGGGCUGAGAGGAUGACCAGCCACAUUGGGACUGAGACACGGCCCAAACUCCUACGGGAGGCAGCAGUGGGGAAUCUUGCGCAAUGGGCGAAAGCCUGACGCAGCCAUGCCGCGUGGAUGAUGAAGGUCUUAGGAUUGUAAAAUCCUUUCACCGGUGAAGAUAAUGACUGUAGCCGGAGAAGAAGCCCCGGCUAACUUCGUGCCAGCCGCCGCAGUAAGAC